rnacentral:lncRNA from 1 species
UAUUACAUACUUGGCUAUAUGUGCUGCAGUUUAAGUUUUUUGAUAUUCAUUUACUUGUGUAUUCUUGCUCGAGCCCUUCCCUUAUUUUCAAAAAUCUCAGUUAGUAGGGUUUAUUUAAUUUUUGUAAACUUUUUUUUUCCUGGUCCACUUAAAAACAUCUCUAAUAAGUUUGUCUGUGUUUGCUAAACCAGGAUGAUUUGGACAUUUCUAAAGAACAGCUGACGUUUUAUUUUUCCGAGAAGAUUGGACAUUAAACAACAGUUUCCGCCCUCAGUCCUGUGUCAUCUUAGGACCACAGUAUAAACUGUAUGGAGUCAAUUGGACAAACUCCUUGCUAUUUCUCCCUGAAAUAUCAUAUAUGAAGUAUUUGUUUUAUCAACUUUGGAUGUGCUUUAUACCGUAUGUCCUAUGCUCUGC